AAUGAGCCAAUUCAUAGUCUUUUGCAGUCACCUUACCAAAGUCCAAGAUCAUUAAGUUCAUUGAAAUCUGCACCUCAUUCUAUGGAUGUAGAUUCUGAGUAUAACCAAUCAGUAUAUACAGACUCCCAUUGUGGAAGUCCUUGUGCUCCAACAUUGGAAUUCCAGAGGUUUCAUCAGAAUAAUGAAUUUAAACUGACGGGUAAGAAGAAUGAUGAGAACUCAGUUUCACUCACCUUGCGAAUUAAAAGCCCUUCGGGUAUGAGUAUAACCGGUCAGUAUAUACAGACUCCCAUUGUGGAAGUCCUUGUGCUCCAACAUUGGAAUUCCAAAGGUUUCACCAGAAUAAUGAAUUUAAAUUGACGAGUAAGAAGAAUGAUGAGAACUCAGUUUCACUGACCUUGCGAAUUAAAAGCCCUUCGG
rnacentral:lncRNA from 1 species